CUGUCCUCCUUUAAAUUCCAUUCUCAGCUCUCUAUUCGAUUUUGGGCCCCACAAGGGCAGGGGUCAAGGACAUCACUGCCCAUGGUGGGAGCUCAGGAACUAUCUGAAGAAUGAAUAAGGGCUUUGCUGAACCUUGUGAGACCAACCUUUGUCAGCUCUUAGUUCACCAAUCAACUUUCUACUUUCCUUUUAAUUUUAGGGGUCACAUGGACAUAUCGUAGAACUCUGGAUGCCUCAUACUGGCUCAUCAUUAUCACUGUCAUCAUUAUCUUCAAAGCCUUCAAUCAGCUUUCAACAAAUUCCUUGGUCACAGUCUUCAAGGGGUGGAAUUUGGUAAUCUGUAUUCUCUUUCAGGUGAUUCAUGAUCCACGAGUUUGGGGAACUACUAGCCCCAGAGUGUUUCCUUUCCUCCAAUAGCCAAGUGUCCUAUAUAGAGUUGAUAGAUAAAAUAUGUAAUGCCCAGUUAAAUUUGAUUUUCAGAUAAACAGUGAAUAAUUUUUUUUAGCAUAAAUAUAUCUCAAAUAUCACACAGAAUAUACUUAUGCUAAAAAGUAUUCACCUGAAUUAUCAAUUGAACUGGGCAUCCUGUGUUUUUAUGAGCUACAUCUGACAAUCCAGUCCCAUGAUGAUCCAGGUAUGUGGGGAAAAGAGACCAACAUUUUCACGUACUUUCUAGCACUCUCUGAGAUGCACGUGGUGCUCCUUUGGUUGACUUUCCCCUUCAUAAAAAACAGGAAUUCUUAACUGGGGUUAGCUGAGGCUCCUGGGAUUUAAUUUCUCCUACCACAGACUUUUUUUUUUUUUUUUUUUUUGCAUAAUCCACCAAUGAAGGUGGAUUUAGGUGUUGUGAUAGAAAAGAUUCUUUCUUUGAGAAUUCCUGGCCCUUUGACAUUCCAGGUGGCUGCCCUUUUGAUGAUGAUCCUGGGGCAGCCAGUGACAAAUAAUACUCCCCGUGACUCCUCUCCAUGACUCAACACCAGUCCCCAGUUCCCUAAGUUUGUGUCACUGUGAAUUCUCCAUCCUGUCUCCUCUUAUUUCCUUUUUUUAUCUGCAAAAGGCGAAAAGAUGAAAAAAUGUUCUCAGCUUAAUCGAAAGUCUAUCUAAUAAUAAUGAGUCCUGCAGCAGGCUUGUAAAGAACGCAGAACAGACCCACUUAAACAUAAUGGUCCUACAAAGUAAUGAAGACUCAAGUGGUCCUUAUUAGGUAUCCAGCUGUGAAUCAGAACUCAUCUAACAUUCUGAUUGCUGAGGGAAAUAGGUAAUUGAUGCAACAGAAUGGCCAUGAUGAUUAUUUUUAGUACUUAUUUUUUUAUCCAGACAUAGCAGCUAGAAGAAACCUGCUCCCAGCCUCCUUGGGGUAUACCAGGUGUGCAGGGUGAGGGUUGCCUUUCCAUUAAAUCUUCAGAUGGGGGCUCUAAUAAAUUUUUCAUUGAAAUAAGUAAUGACCACAUUUAACGACCAGUGUGUCUGAGUGUUAACAGCUUGUGAGCCAACAAACGAGUCAUUAACAGGUGUUAACUUCUGCUUUCUGGUUUAAACAAUUCAUUUUCAUCUCUCUCCUGUUUGGACUGGGGGCUUAUGCAAAUUCCUGGCUGGGUUUUCAUUUUUCUUCUGAUAGGCAAGUCUUAUUAAUUGGUUAGCUACAUCUCUGCUAAUGCCUCCUCUUUUCCAGGAGUGUUUCUUAUGGAGUCAAUGGAUGAAUGAAUUUUAUUUUUAAUCCAUUUUUUUCCCCCUGAAGGUUGAGUGUAUCCUGGAAUAGUUUGGUCCUGGAAUGAAUUAGGUAAAAAGUCCUGGAGAAAAAUCCACUCUUGAAACAUGAAGUCUCCUACUAUGGAAAAGGAAUGCAAAUAGGUUGAAGAUAAUACAGGGUUUGAGGCAGCAUUUAUGUCCGCAGAGGAGACAUGACAAAGAUGAUUGUCUGUGUGCUAGAAAUGUACAGACCCACUAUGGGUCCAACAUGUGCCUGUGAUGGGGCUGAGCCCUCCUGGGAAAUCCUCUUCUCAUAGUUGCCCCCUUUUUUCCCUUCUUGCUUUUUGACAGAUUAUAAGCCAGUGGAAAGGACACACUUUCCUCUCUCAACUUACCAUUGGGGGGAUGGGGUUGGGGUGAUGGGAUGAAGAGUGGGUUUGGGUCUUUGGUCCUAGAGCACCCCAUUUCAUUGCAUGAGCUUCCUGUAGAUAGAAGCAAAGUCAGGAAACGAGAAUUCCAAGUUCUGUCCAGUAGGGACCAUCUUGUGGGUGUGGAGGGUGCACUGGAUUAUAUAUACUUGUCUCUCUAAGGCAGUGCUUCUUAAACCCUGUGUGGCAAAGGAACAUUUAAGAAAAUUCAAAUAGAUUACAGAUUGAUAAUCAGUAAAAUACAAAAUCAUGCAGCUUGGAUGUCCUGGGGAUGUUGAAUUGCUAUAAACUUUCUAAAUGCUUUCUGUCACUUUCAUACUUAUCCUACCCUGGUAACUGUGAAUCAGUAUCAGUCCAGAUUUUGGGCAACACUUCUUUCAUGAGCUUGGGUCUUGCCUUUUUACAGCUAUGAAAGCUGGUGAGAGAAAACUGCCCUCGGCUACUCCUCGCAAUGGUCAUUCCUUUGUGAUACCUUGCUGAGCAAUGACUAGAUGAGGUUUUGAACAAGGAACAUGUGUCUCAGCUCCCAAUAUUUUUUAGCAGAAUCUUCUAUAAUCUUUGGCUGACAUGAAAGAAGCAGCUUAGUUAUCAAAAUAAUUUUCCCUCCUGGGUGUUCUGCAGACCAGGGUGGCCAGAGUCCUUGUUUUGAUUAAUCAAAGCCAGGCACAGAGAUGAAGGCACCUUGCCUGGCAAUGGUGUGAGUAUCUGGAGAAGAAAGGUAAGACUAGGCUGGGUCCUUUUACACAUGGAAGUGAUUCAGAAAAUGGGGUCUUUAUGAAGUUCUGUAUACUUUAUAAAUGUUAGAAUUUUAAAAAAAUGUAGCUUGUAGUGAUGAUGGAAACAAUCUGUAAAAUAGCAUUUAAAAGCAAAUGAAGUUUUUUUUUUUUUUCAAAUGCUGUGAAGUUAAUUGUAUUAGCUAUAAGAAACCAUUCACCUUCUUGUUUAUGGUUAUUUCCAGUUUGCCACAGGAUCUGAAAUAAAAGAGCACUGUUUAAAAUUGUGAGUGGGGUCUGACACUUUAAUUCAUUGCUUUAGAGGUCAUUUACAUAUUGUUCAUAUUGGAAAGCAAAACUAUUCAAGUUAAAAGCAAACAUAUAUUUUCUGAAGACUUGGUAUUGCUUAAUGUCCCGCAAUAAUUAUAUGAACAUCAAAUUUAUAUAACAGGGUUUGCUGAGUUUGAAAUACAAAGUCCCUGUGUUCGAAUUCUAGCACUGUAAUUCGUAGAGUUCUUUUUCUUGCCUGUUCUUUU
rnacentral:lncRNA from 10 species